UACGUAGGGGGCUAGCGUUGUCCGGAAUCAUUGGGCGUAAAGGGUGCGUAGGCGGCGCGGUAAGUCGGGUGUGAAAUCUCGGGGCUUAACUCCGAAACUGCAUUCGAUACUGGCGUGCUCGAGGACUGGAGAGGAGACUGGAAUUCAUGGUGUAGCAGUGAAAUGCGUAGAGAUCAUGAGGAAGACCAGUGGCGAAGGCGGGUCUCUGGUCCGGUACUGACGCUGAUGUGCGAAAGCGUGGGAGCAAACAGG
rnacentral:rRNA from 1 species